rnacentral:misc_RNA from 1 species
AAGUCGUAACAAGGUUUCCGUAGGUGAACCUGCGGAAGGAUCAUCAUUGAAUCCAUUCUACAAACCCUGUGAACUGUAUGUAAAAGAGUGUUUUGGCAGGAAGACUCGGCAGUUGGCCGAGUCGUGUCUCUCUGCGGGGGCAGCAUGCUGCUUACCUUUAUGGUUGCGCGCGCGCUACUCUUGCGGAUGAGCGACUGCCAUCCGCUCACCUUUAAAUAAAAACGCUUUAAACAAUUAUUACUGAUACAAACAAAUAAACUAAAACAACUUUCAACAAUGGAUCUCUUGGCUCUC